rnacentral:lncRNA from 1 species
UGAACACUUCUGAAAUCAUCAGAACACUUCUGAAAUCAUCAGAAACGCUUAAACACAAAAGGAGGAAUUAGCUGCAUGCAGCAGCCACAAAGAGGGCAGAGAGGCAUGAGCUGCCGCAUCCUGCAAGCCUUAAUUCAGUGUCUGGAAAAGAAUGCAAAUCCACUUAAGAAGACUUGAGACUAGCUACUAAAAAGGAGUUGUGCAGCUGCAGUGCUCGUCGUAGGUGAAGAAGGUCUCUGAAGCCUGAACACGCUGAGCAAGAGGAUGCCCUGGAGUCAGAAGGUGGGAGACUGCAGAUCUGAAGUGGUGCUUCUCAAAGAGUUUACACGGUCAGAGGCUGAGAUCAUUAUUUUUGAAAACUGAUGAUGAGAAUACACAGUAAGUACCCUUGCAAAGUUUUUACAAUGAAUCCUGUACAUAAAGUC